GGCUUUCUUCGCGGCGGAGCUCGACCGCCCACCCAGGUACUGACCGAGUUCAUCGACACUCAUCGUGAGGAGUUCGGGGUCGAGCCGAUCUGUCGAGUGCUGUGCGAGCACGGCGUCAAGAUCGCCCCG
rfam:Luteipulveratus sp. C296001 unitig_0_quiver_44, whole genome shotgun sequence.